rnacentral:rRNA from 1 species
ACGGGUGAGUAACACGUGAGCAACCUGCCUUUGGCUUUGGGAUAACCCUCGGAAACGGGGGCUAAUACCGAAUAUUCAUGGUGCCCGGCAUCGGGUGUUGUGGAAAGUUUUUCGGCCAGGGAUGGGCUCGCGGCCUAUCAGCUUGUUGGUGGGGUGAUGGCCUACCAAGGCGACGACGGGUAGCCGGCCUGAGAGGGCGACCGGCCACACUGGGACUGAGACACGGCCCAGACUCCUACGGGAGGCAGCAGUGGGGAAUAUUGCACAAUGGGCGGAAGCCUGAUGCAGCGACGCCGCGUGAGGGAUGACGGCCUUCGGGUUGUAAACCUCUUUCAGCAGGGACGAAGCGUAAGUGACGGUACCUGCAGAAGAAGCGCCGGCCAACUACGUGCCAGCAGCCGCGGUAAGACGUAGGGCGCAAGCGUUGUCCGGAUUUAUUGGGCGUAAAGAGCUCGUAGGCGGCUUGUUGCGUCGACCGUGAAAACCUGUGGCUCAACUACAGGCUUGCGGUCGAUACGGGCGGGCUGGAGUUCGGUAGGGGAGACUGGAAUUCCUGGUGUAGCGGUGAAAUGCGCAGA